rnacentral:lncRNA from 13 species
CACAUAGUUUAAACUAGUUACAUCAGUUACAUACAGUCAGCUGCCCCAGUUAAACCAAUCACACACACGUAGCAAACAUCCUCAACAACCGGUAGCAACCAUGAACACUAGUAACCAACUACUGGAGUUCCUCACACUGGUGAAAAGAGGCCAGAGAGCUGCAGGUCACUAAUGGCUGCAGCCUAUGGAACAUCCCAACUGAUGAGGUCCAACUGAUGCUGCCAACUGAUGAGGUCACUAAGGGCUGCUGCCUUUGGAACAUCCACACUGAUGAUGUCACUAAGGGCUGCUGCCUUUGGAACAUCCCAACUGAUGAGGUCACUAAGGGCUGUUGCCUUUGGAACAUCCAAACUGAUGAGGCCACUAAGGGCUUCUGCCUCAGUCAUUCCGGAACUCUUGGAUUCUAGAAUAAAACAAGACUGAGAACAGCUGUCAGAAACUCUCCCACCUCAUUAAGGAACCAGACUCAAGUGGAGGGUCAAAGGUCAAAUAUAUCUGCUGGAGACAAGCAAGAAAUUACAUUGUAAUAAUGGUUGUUUUUACAUAUCGGUGAAAAAACAUAGUGUCAGCACGUGAUGUUUCUGCUUUCAUGGCGUGGGGGUCAAAAUAA